UACGGCGGCCAUAGCGAGAGGGAAACACCCGGUCCCAUCCCGAACCCGGAAGUUAAGCCUUUCAGCGCCGAUGGUACUGCAACCGAGAGGUUGUGGGAGAGUAGGACGCCGCCGGAC
rnacentral:rRNA from 1 species